rnacentral:rRNA from 1 species
GAAUAUUGGACAAUGGGCGAAAGCCUGAUCCAGCCAUGCCGCGUGUGUGCAGAAGGUCUUCGGAUUGUAAAGCACUUUAAGUUGGGAGGAAGGGCAGUAAGUGAAUACCUUGCUGUUUUGACGUUACCGACAGCAUAAGACACGGCUAACUCUGUGCCGACAGCCGCGGUAAUACAGAGGGUGCAACCGUUAAUCGGAAUUACUGGGCGUAAAGCGCGCGUAGGUGGUUCGUUAAGUGGGAUUUGAAAUCCCCGGGCGCAACCUGGGAACUGCAUCCAAAACUGGCGAGCUAGAGUAGGGCAGAGGGUGGUGGAAUUUCCUGUGUAGCGGUGAAAUGCGUAGAUAUAGGAAGGAACACCAGUGGCGAAGGCGACCACCUGGGCUCAUACUGACACUGAGGUGCGAAAGCGUGGGGAGCAAACAGG